UAGGGAAUCUUCCGCAAUGGACGAAAGUCUGACGGAGCAACGCCGCGUGAGUGAAGAAGGAUUUCGGUUCGUAAAACUCUGUUGUUAGGGAAGAAAAAAUGUAUAGUAACUAUAUACAAAAGAGACGGUACCUAACCAGAAAGCCACGGCUAACUACGUGCCAGCAGCCGCGGUAAUACGUAGGUGGCAAGCGUUGUCCGGAAUUAUUGGGCGUAAAGCGCGCGCAGGUGGUUUAGAAAGUCUGAUGUGAAAGCCCACGGCUCAACCGUGGAGGGUCAUUGGAAACUAAUAAACUUGAGUGCAGGAGAGAAAAGUGGAAUUCCUCGUGUAGCGGUGAAAUGCGUAGAGAUUAGGAGGAACACCGGUGGCGAAAGCGGCUUUUUGGCCUGCAACUGACACUGAGGCGCGAAAGCGUGGGGAGCAAACAGG
rnacentral:rRNA from 1 species